rnacentral:rRNA from 1 species
GUAGGUGGCAAGCGUUGUCCGGAAUUAUUGGGCGUAAAGCGCGCGCAGGCGGUCCUUUAAGUCUGAUGUGAAAGCCCACGGCUCAACCGUGGAGGGUCAUUGGAAACUGGGGGACUUGAGUACAGAAGAGGAAAGCGGAAUUCCAAGUGUAGCGGUGAAAUGCGUAGAGAUUUGGAGGAACACCAGUGGCGAAGGCGGCUUUCUGGUCUGUAACUGACGCUGAGGCGCGAAAGCGUGGGGAGCAAACAGGGAUUAGAUACCCUGGUAGUCCACGCCGUAAACGAUGAGUGCUAAGUGUUAGGGGGUUUCCCGCCCCCUUAGUGCUGCAGCUAACGCAUUAAGCACUCCGCCUGGGGGAUACGGCCGCAAGGCUG